UACGGGGGGGGGCAAGCGUUGUUCGGAAUUACUGGGCGUAAAGGGUCUGUAGGUGGCCAACUAAGUCAGACGUGAAAUCCCUCAGCUUAACUGGGGAACUGCGUCUGAUACUGGUUGGCUUGAGUGCAGGAGAGGAAUGCGGAAUUCCAGGUGUAGCGGUGAAAUGCGUAGAUAUCAGGAGGAACACCGGUGGCGAAGGCGGCUCUCUGGACCACAACUGACGCUGAGGCGCGAAAGCUAGGGUAGCGAACGGG
rnacentral:rRNA from 1 species